AACGUAGGAGGCGAGCGUUAUCCGGAUUUACUGGGCGUAAAGCGCGUGUAGGCGGCUGGGCAAGUUGGCUGUGAAAGCUCCCGGCUUAACUGGGAGAGGUCGGUCAAAACUGCCUGGCUGGAGAUUGGUAGAGGGAGAUGGAAUUCCGGGUGUAGUGGUGAAAUGCGUAGAUAUCCGGAGGAACACCAGUGGCGAAAGCGAUCUCCUGGACCACAUCUGACGCUCGGACGCGAAAGCUAGGGGAGCGAACGGG
rnacentral:rRNA from 1 species